AUUGAACGCUGGCGGCAGGCCUAACACAUGCAAGUCGAACGGUAACAGGAAACAGCUUGCUGUUUCGCUGACGAGUGGCGGACGGGUGAGUAAUGUCUGGGAAACUGCCCGAUGGAGGGGGAUAACUACUGGAAACGGUAGCUAAUACCGCAUAACGUCGCAAGACCAAAGAGGGGGACCUUCGGGCCUCUUGCCAUCGGAUGUGCUCAGAUGGGAUUAGCUAGUAGGUGGGGUAACGGCUCACCUAGGCGACGAUCCCUAGCUGGUCUGAGAGGAUGACCAGCCACACUGGAACUGAGACACGGUCCAGACUCCUACGGGAGGCAGCAGUGGGGAAUAUUGCACAAUGGGCGCAAGCCUGAUGCAGCCAUGCCGCGUGUAUGAAGAAGGCCUUCGGGUUGUAAAGUACUUUCAGCGGGGAGGAAGGGAGUAAAGUUAAUACCUUUGCUCAUUGACGU
rnacentral:rRNA from 1 species